UUUUUCAGGUUUUACUGUUUGAUUAUGCUCCAAAUCAAUUUUAUUGCCCACUAAGGUAACCAGCGGCUGAGUUUCUGACUCUUCACUCACUUUCUUCACUAAUCUUCUAAAAAUUCUCAAAGCUUUGAUAACUUGUAAUACCAUAUACCAAGAUGAUUUCCUGUGCUCCAUAGAUGGAUCUGUCCAACAUUUUGCUUCUUAUUGUCCGGCCUCCUGUAUCCCAAACUAGAGAGUAACAUUCAAGUUUCCUGGCAAUGUUAUCCUUCUCAAAAGAAAUCCAGUCCUAUAGUUUGUACUGGUUCCUGAAAGUUUUUUGAGCAAAAUCUGUAGCUAAGGAGGUCUUCCGGGAGGUGCUGUUCCCUAGCACGAUGAUUUUCAGUGCUGGUCCUGGCUCUCUUCCUUAGAGUCCUACAUGAUGUCCCAGGAACCAUGCCUGCCCCGCUCCCCCGGGUGGAGGGAGGAGGGGAAGGAGAAGGUCUCCAGGGGUGAGGGAGGAAGAAGGGAGGGUAGUGGGGACAGUACCUCACUUGUCUGCUCGAUGUCAGCAGUGGCUGGAGAAUCUCUCGCCAGGUGCCAUCUUGCCAAUCUCUUCUCCCUCUGCCCUCUGUGGGUCUUUUGUUGAGGGCUGGGCUGUACAUGCAUAGUAUGAGAUUCUGUGAGGCCUAGAAAAGAGCAGCUGCUAUGGGGUUGAAAGAAGAAUGGAGAAGGCCGGGUGCAGUGGCUCAUGCCUGUAAUCCCAGCAUUUUGGGAGGCCGAGGUGGGUGGAUCAGUUGAAGUCAGGAGUUUGAGACCAGCCUGGCCAACAUGGUGAAACCCCAUCUCUACUGAAAAUACAGAAAUUAGCUGGGUAUGGUGGCACAUGCCUGUAGUACAAGCUACUUGAGAGGCUGAGGCAGGAGAAUGGUUUGAACCUGGGAGGUAGAGGUUGCAGUGAGCCAACAUUGCGUUAUUGCACUCCAGCCUGGGUGACAGAGCAAGACUCUGUCUCAAAAAAAAAAAAAAAAAAAAAAAAAGAAUGGAGAUACUAGAGGUUGCACAGUGCUGAGAAAUAUGAGGUUCUGACCUAGCCAGAGUGGAGAGAACUUUUUAACAUCAUAGGCAUGCGCCACCACGCCCUGCUAAUUUUGUAUUUUUAGUAGAGAUGGGGUUUCGCCAUGUUGCUCAGGCUGGUCUCGAACUCCUGACCUCAGGUAAUCCACCCACCUUGGCCUCCCAAAGUGCUGGGAUUACAGGCGUGAGCCACCUUGCCUGGCACCUCUUCCACUUUUAUGAUUAGAUUGGGCCCAUGUGGAUAAACCAGGGCAAUCUCCUAUUUUUAGUAAACUGAUUAGCAUCUUUAAUUUCAUCUGCAAUCUUAAUUCCUCUUUGCCAUGUAUCAUAAGAUAUAUACAGGUUCCAAAGAUUAAGAUGUAGACAUCUUUGGGUGGCCAUUAUUCUGCCUACCACACACAAUAUGUCCUCUGACUGUAAUGGAACCAAACUGGAAAUCAGUAAUAGAAAUACAUACCACCACGCCUGGCUAAUUUUAUUUUUGUAGAGAUGGGGUCUCGCUGCUCAGGCCAGUCUGGAGCUCCUGGGCUUAUGUGAUCCUCUUGCCUUGGCAUCCCAAAGUGGUGGGAUUAUAGGCAUGAACCACUGCACCCGGCUUAAUUUACGUUUUAUAGUGUGCAAUUCAAUGUUUUGGGUUUUUUUUUCUUUUUAAAGCAUAUUUACAGAGUUGUGCAACCGUCACCACUAUCUAACUUAAGAAUAUUUUAGCCAGGCAUGGUAGGUAGCACGUGCCUGUAGUCCAUGCUACUUGGGAGGCUGAGGCAAGAGGAUUGCUCGAGCCCAGGAGGUUAAGGCUGCAGUGAGCUAUGAUCACACCCACUGUACGUCAGUCUGCUUGACAGAGUGAGACCUUGUUUCAAAAAAAAAAAAUAAAAUUUCUAUCACCCUAAAAAGAAACCCCAUACUUACUCUUAGUCACUUGCUAUUCCUUUUUGUCCCUGGGCCCGGAAAUAACUACGUUCUGUUUCUAUGAAUUUUCCUAUUCUGUACUUGCAUAUAAAUUGAAUCAUACAAUAUUUAGUCUUUCAUGACUGGCUUCUUAGAAUGUUUUUGAAGUUCAUGCACAUUGAGGUACACAUCAGUACUUCAUCUCUUGGUCAAAUAAUAUUACAUUGUAUGAAUGUAUCACAUUUGCUUUGUCCAUUCAUCAGUUGAUAGAUAUUUGGGAGUUACACUUUUUGUCUAUGAUGAAUAAUGCUGCUGUGAACAUUCCUGAGCAGGUUUUGGUAAGAACCCCUGUGUUUUCAGUUCUUCGGGGUAUAUACCUCAGAGUAGAAUUGCUGGGUCCUAAGGUAACUAACUCAUUGUUUACCAUUUUGAGGAAAUACAAAACUAUUUUCCAAAGUGGCUAUACCAUUUUACAAUUUCAUGAAAGAGAAAUUUAUAAUACUAAAUGAUGCUUAUAUUAGAAAAAAGGAAAGAUCUCAAAUUAAUAAUCUAAAUUAAUAAUCUAAGUUCCUGAUUCAAGCAACUAGAAAAAGAAAAGCAAAUGAAACCAAAGGACUGGACGCAAUGGCUUAUGCCUGUAAUCCCAGCACUUGGGGAGGCUGAGGCAGGAGGAUUGCUUGAUCCCAGGAGUUCAAGACCAGCCCAGACAACUAGUGGGACCCUAUCUCUACUAAAAAAAAAGUUAAAAAAUAAACCAAAGAAAGCAGAAGAAACAGUGCAAGAAGAGAAAUCACUGAGGCCGAGCGUGGUGGCUCAUGCCUGUAAUCCCAGCACUUUGGGAGGCCGAGGUGGGAGGAUCACUUGAGGUCGGGAGUUUGAGACUAGCCUGGCCUACAUGGUGAAACACUGUCUCUACUAAAAAUACAAAAAUUAGCUGGGCGUGGUGGCACAUGCCUGUAAUCCCAGCUAUUUGGGAGGCCGAGGCAGGAGAAUAGCUCGAACCCGGGAGCCGGAGAUUGCAGUGAGCCGAGAUUGAGCCACUGCAUUCCAGCCUGGGCCACAGAGUGAGACUCCAUCUCA
ensembl:lncRNA novel transcript